CUGCUGCCUUCCGUAGGAGUUUGGACCGUGUCUCAGUUCCAAUGUGGGGGACCUUCCUCUCAGAACCCCUACGCAUCGUCGGCUUGGUGGGGCCGUUGCCCCACCAACUACCUAAUGCGCCGCAUGCCCAUCCGUGACCGGGGUCGCCCCCUUUGGCCGGCAGGGGAUGUCCCCUCCCGGCAUUAUGUUGUAUUAGGCGGGAUUUCUCCCGGUUAUCCAUCUGUCACGGCCAGGUUGCAUACGUGUUACUCACCCGUGCGCCGGUCGCCGGCGG
rnacentral:rRNA from 1 species